GCCGGGCUUGGUAGUACAAGCUUGUAACUCAGGCGAGGGCACCAAGGUGGUUGAACGUUGGCCCGAUUCUGAUAAGCAGGAGCAGUCAGAGUUAAUUUGCUGGCACGCCCGUUCCAAGUAGGGAGUUGAACCAUGUGACUUGAAUAAAAGCUUGGGUAACGUGGCUCUUAGAGUGGAGGGCACCGCCUCAGAUUGGUUUCACAGAGCAGCGAAAACCUCCCGCUUCUAUAAGCCAGUGCUCCGCUGCCUCAACAAUUGCUCUAUGAGUCGAGCCCAAUCGGACAACCACCUUU
rnacentral:SRP_RNA from 1 species